rnacentral:rRNA from 1 species
GCAAGUCGAACGGCUUUUCUAUGGAAGCUUGCUUCCACUGAGAAGAUAGUGGCGAACGGGUGAGGUAACACGUGGGUAACCUGCCCAUAAGAGGGGGGAUAACAUCCGGAAACGGGUGCUAAUACCGCAUAGUUUUCUUGAUCGCAUGAUCGGGAAAGGAAAGACGGCCUUUGUGCUGUCGCUUAUGGAUGGACCCGCGGCGUAUUAGUUAGUUGGUGAGGUAACGGCUCACCAAGACGAUGAUACGUAGCCGACCUGAGAGGGUGAUCGGCCACAUUGGGACUGAGACACGGCCCAAACUCCUACGGGAGGCAGCAGUAGGGAAUCUUCCGCAAUGGACGAAAGUCUGACGGAGCAACGCCGCGUGAGUGAAGAAAAGGUUUUCGGAUCGUAAAACUCUGUUGUCAGAGAAGAACAAGUUGGAGAGUAACUGCUCCAGCCUUGACGGUAUCUGACCAGAAAGCCACGGCUAACUACGUGCCAGCAGCCGC